rnacentral:rRNA from 1 species
AUGAAGGUCGAAGAAGCAUUGGAAGAUCCGGAUUGGAUAAACGUUAUGCAUGAAGAGCUACACAACUUUGAGAGAAACCAAGUUUGGACAUUGGUUCAGAAGCCCGACAACAACCACAACAUCAUCUAUACCAAAUGGGUAUCUCGUAACAAGCAAGAUGAAGAUGGACAAGUAGUUCACAACAAAGCAUGUCUCGUUGCCCAAGGCUACACACAAGUCGAAGGUAUGGACUAUGGUGAGACUUAUGCUCCCGUUGCUAGACUUGAGUCCAUUCGCAUCUUACUUGCCUAUGCUAAUCACCAUGAUAUCACAUUGUACCAAAUGGACAUUAAAAGUGCUUUUCUAAAUGGUGAAAUAGAGGAGGAAUUUUAUGUUAAACAACCACCCGGCUUUGUCAAUCCUAAGAAACCCAAUCAUGUCUAUAAACUUUGGAAAGCUCUUUAUGGUCUUAAACAAGCUCCUAGAGCUUGGUACAAAUGCUUAACGAAGUUUCUUCUUGGAAAGGGAUUUGAAAUUGGGAAAAUUGAUUCUACUCUUUUUACUAAAAGGGUUAAUGGAGAAUUAUUUGUAAGCCAAAUUUAUGUUGAUGAUAUCAUAUUUGGAUCAACUAACCCUCAUUUUAGCGAGAAGUUUGGAAAGCUAAUGUCGGAGAAGUUUGAGAUGUCAAUGAUGAGUGAACUCAAAUUCUUUCUUGGGUUGCAAAUAAAGCAAGCUAAGGAAGGUACUUUUGUCUCUCAAAUGAAGUACACUAAGGACUUAUUCAAGAAGUUCAAUAUGCAAGAAUGCAAAGGUAUGUCUACACCCAUGCCUACUAGUGGACAUCUUGAUUUGACCAAAGAUGGUGAACCAGUUUAUCAAAAGGUUUAUCGCUCUAUGAUUGGUUCAUUGUUAUACCUAUGUGCUUCACGUCCCGAUAUUAUGCUAAGUGUGUGCAUGUGUGCAAGAUAUCAAGCUGCUCCUAAAGGCUGUGAAAAGGAUAGUGAGAUACUUAAUACAUACACCAAAUUUUGGCAUUUGGUAUCCUAA